AGUGAACGCUGGCGGUAGGCCUAACACAUGCAAGUCGAACGGCAGCACAGUAAGAGCUUGCUCUUACGGGUGGCGAGUGGCGGACGGGUGAGGAAUACAUCGGAAUCUACUUUUUCGUGGGGGAUAACGUAGGGAAACUUACGCUAAUACCGCAUACGACUUACGGGUGAAAGCAGGGGAUCUUCGGACCUUGCGCGAUUGAAUGAGCCGAUGUCGGAUUAGCUAGUUGGCGGGGUAAAGGCCCACCAAGGCGACGAUCCGUAGCUGGUCUGAGAGGAUGAUCAGCCACACUGGAACUGAGACACGGUCCAGACUCCUACGGGAGGCAGCAGUGGGGAAUAUUGGACAAUGGGCGCAAGCCUGAUCCAGCCAUACCGCGUGGGGGAAGAAGGCCUUCGGGUUGUAAAGCCCUUUUGUUGGGAAAGAAAAGCAGCAGGUUAAUACCCCGCUGUUCUGACGGUACCCAAAGAAUAAGCACCGGCUAACUUCGUG
rnacentral:rRNA from 1 species